UACGGAGGGGACUAGCGUUGUUCGGAAUUACUGGGCGUAAAGCGCACGUAGGCGGAUUGUUAAGUCGGGGGUGAAAUCCUGGAGCUCAACUCCAGAACUGCCUUCGAAACUGGCGAUCUUGAGUCCGGGAGAGGUGAGUGGAACUGCGAGUGUAGAGGUGAAAUUCGUAGAUAUUCGCAAGAACACCAGUGGCGAAGGCGGCCAACUGGUCCGGUACUGAUGCUGAGGUGCGAAAGCGUGGGGAGCAAACAGG
rnacentral:rRNA from 1 species